UGGGGCAUCGUUCAAUGGUAGGACACAGACCUUUGGAGUCUGUUAUCUAGGUUCGAAUCCUAGUGCCCCAGCCA
rnacentral:tRNA from 1 species